AAAGUGUUAUUUGACUGGAGUGAGGUCUCAUGUCUGCUUAUGCGGUGGCUCGCUGCUCAGAACAGGAUGGCAGAGAUGAGCACCACCAUCAAAAACUCAAGGACCAGUGCUGUGGGUCCAGUCAUCUGUUUCAUGGAAUUCACCAGUCUGGUAUCUUCAAAAUCCAGAAGGAUGAUGGCAGAUGGCAGGAAGGUAAUGCAAACGUCAUCAGGUGUGACCCCACUGUAGCAGCUGUGAUGGAUGUUUUCUCUCACCAUAGCAAUAAAUAACACAACCUCGGUCACACUGUAUGCAUUGUUGGUCUGCAAAAUCCAUGUUUUGCAAAACUCUUCAGGAAGGUGGAUCUGUAAUAUUGGCAUUGACAUGAGAACAACAGCAGUAUUUAUUCACAAUCUCAAGCUCUCUGUCUUCCCGUCUCUCUCAUUAGCCAUCCAAGUAGUCCUGAGGAACCAAGCCCAUCAGAACAUUCUGCAACAUAAUACACAGCUCCAUUCUCCAUUCAAAUUUUGUUGUUGUUGUUGUUGUUGAUGAGACAACAUCUUACUCCAUCAGCCAGGCUGACGUACAGUGGGGCUAUCUGGGCUGACUGUAGUCUUGAGCUUCCAGGCUCAAGGCAUCCUCUCACCUCAGCCUCCUAAGUGGCUUGAACUACAGACACACAGCGACAUGCUGGGCUAGUUUUUGUAUAUUUUGUAGAGACGUGCUCUCACCAUGUUAUUCAGGCUGGACUCAAACUCCUGAGCGUAAGUGAUCCAAGCACCUUGGCCUCAAAGUGCUGAGAUUACAAGCCUGAGCCACUGCACCCAGCCCAAUCUCCAUUCUACUGAUAACAAUGUCAUUACCAGGUCUGAUGGACAGGAAAUGGUAAGGUUUCUGAAAACCUAAGGAUCACACAGCGAGUUCCAAAGGCUGAAAGUGCAUACCUGUCGACACUGAUACCAAUGACAUCCAAUGGAGGAAGAGGGUAAUCUGGAAGAGUUUCCUGACCUACUCUGCUGCUGUGAUUAAACAACCACCAGGAAAUUUUGAUGACACUGUUCUCCUGAGCUCCUCCCUUUCCUCGGGGAAGAAAAGCAUUGAAACUACAAAAAUAAAGUGUUAUUUGGCUGGAGUGAGGUCUCAUGUCUGCUUAUGCGGUGGCUCGCUGCUCAGAACAGGAUGGAGUCUUGCUCUGCCGCCCAGACUGGAGUGCAAUGGCGCAAUCUCGGCUCACUGCAACAUUUGCCUCCCAGGAACCAUUGGAGAUACUCAUUACUCUUUGAAGGCUUACAGUGGAAUGAAUUCAAAUACGACUUAUUUGAGGAAUUGAAGUUGACUUUAUGGAGCUGAUAAGAAUCUUCUUGGAGAAAAAAAGACUGGGUAUAUUUUCAAUAUGCUUUCCUUUUAAGGUCCCUCACCUGUGGAAAGUAAAGAAUGUCACUUUCUGACAGGCUCAGGAACCUCAAGUUAUGUAGGGAUCUCAAGAAGAUGGGGGAAUUCACCCAGUUCAUACAGGUGAAAUUGCUGUUGCAAAGAUUAUGAAUAUGAGAGAAGUCCAGCAUGGCUGACUUCAUCUCGUGUCUGGCCUCAGGCUGGCUGCCCUUGCUCACUCUUGGGCAUAGGCCAAGCUAGCCAUGGGAGGAAUUUAGUUUAUAGUUUAACUUUGAAGCACGGAUGAUAAUAGUCUCUCCCUAAAAUGAACCCCUUCCUUGCUCAGGGACUGAAACUACCUUUGUAUGACAAAUGAAAGCCCACAAGAUUAAGAUUAUGAGAGGGGCCUGAAUUCUGCUAAAAUGCAGGUGUAGCUGACUGAUAACAAGUCAUUGUCCCACAGCUUGCCUUUCUAUAAUCUCUUGCUUCUCAGGAGUCACAUGGCCAGAGGUCCUGAGAUUUCCAGUCCUGUGACCCCCACCCAGAGAUGGACUUAGUGCAUGAGGACCAUUUUCCACACCCCUAUGAUUUCAUCCUCAAACAAUCAGCAGCAACCAUUCCCUAGCCCCCUGCCUUCCAAAUUAUCCAUAAAAAUCCUAGCCUCUGAGUUAUUAGGGAGAUUGAUUAAUAAUCCCAGUCCUACCCCUUGGGUUGCUCUGAUUUAAUUAAACCUUCUCUACUGCAAUACCACGGACUCAGUAAAUUGGUUUUGUCUGUGCAAUGGGCAAGAAGAACAUGUUGCAUGGUUAUACAGGUACUACAAGCACAGUCUGAUGGCAAAUUAUUGGUUUUGCUUCCUGCCCUUGAUGUUUCUAAACAUCUAGUCCAAAAUUACUUGUGAAAGGUCCAGCAAAGCCAAUUUUAAAAGAGGCUAUAUGGCCAAUCACUAUUCUUUCUACACAUUAUUGCAAAUAAUCAGGCCACGGCUGGGCACGGUGGCUCAUGCCUGCAAUCCCAGCACUUUGGGAGGCUGAGGCAGGAUCACCUGAAAUCAGGAGUUCAAGACCAGCCUAGGCAACAUGAUAAAACCCUGUCUCUACUAAAAAUACAAAAUUAGCCAGGCAUGGUGGCAUGCACCUGUAAUCCCAGCUACUUGGGAGACUGAGGGAGGAGAAUCACUUGAACCUGGGAGGCAGAGAUUGCAGUGAGCUGAGAUCACACCACUGCACUCCAGCCUGGGCAAUAGAGUGAGACUUUGUCUCAAAUAAUAAUAAUAAUAAUCAGACCAAGUAUAAUGAAAUUAAAAUUUAUUUUGCAAAUAAAUUGGUCCUACUACAAUUUAUCCUUCAUAGAAAUGUGGAAACUGAAGAUAAAAAAAAUUAGGUUUCAGAAGAAAACUAUACUACACCUGUUAUUAGAUUCUAGCCCUAAACAUUGUUUUUGAGGUUUUUAUUAUUUACCUGCAAUUUGGUCUAAAUUCUGAAUUAUUUCCUGACUACAAGUAUCCAAGGAAUAAAUGGGUUUUCUUUUUCUUUAUGAUAGUUUUAGUUGGCUUCUAAUGCAACAACAAUUUUUAUUGUAAUCCUGUGUGCAUUCUAUUCCUACUAUUCAAAUUAUUAAUGUUAUAGAUCUUUCAUUGUAGUACUUCUGAAUUAACCAAAAUCACAGUAUUCUGAAGAUGAUUCUACAAAGCCUGCUGUUUCUACAAAGGCUGCUGAUGAUUUCUACAAAGCCUGCUGUAGUGUUGCUGUGGCCUCUGCUUAAAAAAGUAGAAAACACAUUGAUGCAGCAUGUUCACCCCAACCUCCCUGCCUAAAGGCUCAGGGACCAUCUUGGAAGAGGAAGGCGCGUGAGAUUGUAAGAGCCGAAUUAGGGGGAUGGAGUGUGGAGAAUAAGGACACUUCAUCUUGGAUGCUCACCUGCCAAAUUGACUUCUGAUGAAAGCCAGCUCCAGAAAUGUGCCUACAGUUACUACUUUCACCUAAACCCUGCCCUUAGUCAAAUCCUUCUCUUCUUCUAAGCAAUCAACUUCAAUUCCUUGUAUAACCCACAGUAUAAAAGGGCUUUUAUACCAUUCUAUCCUAUUGCAUGUAAGCCUUGGGUCUGGGAGGUAACAGUGUGGGAUUCCACCAUCUCAUCUCCCUGCCACCCAAACAUGCCUGCUCUUCUUUAAGCAAUAUUAAAUGUUUGUACUUCAGAAA
rnacentral:lncRNA from 1 species